AUAGACGCUAGCGGCAGGCUUAAUACAUGCAAGGUUGAGGGGCAGCAUGAUAUACGCGAGUAUAUUGAUGGCGACCGGCGGACGGGUGAGUAAUAGGUAGGAGACCUACCUCAUACAGGGGGAUAGCAUAGAGAAAUCUGUGGUAAUACCCCAUGAGGUUAUAUGAAUAGAGGCAUAUAAUCAAAGCAUAAGCGAUUAUGCGGUAUGAGAGGGGCCUACUGACCAUUAGCUAGUUGGUGAGGUAAGGGCUCACCAAGGCGAAGAUGGUUAGGGGUUUUGAGAGAGAGACCCCCCACAUUGGAACUGAGAGACGGUCCAGACUCCUACGGGAGGCAGCAGUAGGGAAUAUUGGGCAAUGGGCGAAAGCCUGACCCAGCCAUGCCGCGUGAAGGAAGACGGCCUUAUGGGUUGUAAACUUCUUUACUACGCGAAUAGAGGUUAGUACGAGAUACUAAUAGGAAGGUAGUGUAGUAAAAAGCACCGGCUAACUCCGUG
rnacentral:rRNA from 1 species